CAUAUGCUUGUCUCAAAGAUUAAGCCAUGCAUGUCUCAGUAUAAGCUUCUAUACGGCGAAACUGCGAAUUGCUCAUUAGCACAGUUAUAGUUUAUUUGAUUGCCAUUCGUUACAUGGAUAACCUUUGUAAUUCUAGAGCUAAUACACGCGCUCAAGCCAGACUUCGCAGAAGUGUCGUGUUUAUUAGAUACAGAACCAACCCAGGCUCCGCCUGGUCUUUUUGCGAUUCAUGAUAACCGAACGGAUCGCAUGGCUCCAGCUGGCGAUGAAUCCUUCAAGUUUCUGACCUAACAGCUUCCGACGGUAGGGUAUUUGCCUACCGUGGCAAUGACGGGUAACGGAGAAUUAGGGUUCGAUUCCUGAGAGCGACCUUGAGAAACUGCUACCACAUCUAAGGAAGGCAGCAGGCGCGCACAUUACCAAAUCCUGACACAGGGAUGUAGUUGCAAUACAGGGCAUCCAUGUCUUGUAAUUGGAAUGAGUAGAGUUUAAACACCUUUACGAGUACAAAUUGGAGGGCAAGUCUGGUGCCAGCAGCCGCGGUAAUUCCAGUUCCAAUAGCGUGUAUCAAAGUUGUUGCUGUUAAAAAAGCUCGUAGUUGUAUUUCUGCUGGGGACGACCGGUCCGCCCUCUGGGUGCGUAGCUGGCUUGGCCUUAGCAUCCUCUUGGAGAACGUAGCUGCACUUGACUGUGUGGUGCGGAAUCCAGGACUUUUACUUUGAGGAAAUUAGAGUGUUUCAAGCAGGCUUCCGCCUUGACUACAUUAGUAUGGAACAAAUAAGAUAGGACCUCGGUUCUAUUUUGCUGGUUUCUAGAACGGAGGUAAGGAUUAAUAUGGAUAGUGUUGGCAUUCUUACCUAAUGUCAGAGGUGCAAUUCUUGGAUUUGUUAAAGACGGACUACUGCGAAAUCAGUUGCCAAGGAUGUUUCAUGUAUCAGGAACGAAAGUUAGGGGAUCGGAGACUAUCAGAUACCGUCCUAGUCUUAACCAUAAACCACGCCGACUAGAGAUGGGAAGUCGUUAUCUUUACGACUCCUUCAGCACCUUACGAGAAAUCACAGUCUUUGGGUUCGGGGGGGGGGGUGGUGGUCGCAAUACUGAAACUUAAAGGAAUUGACGGAAGGGCACAGCAAGGAGUGGAGCCUGCGCCUUAAUUUGACUCAACACGGGGAAACUCACCAGGUCCAGACAUAGUAAGGAUUGACAGAUUGACAGCUCUUUCUUGAUUCUAUGGGUGGUGGUGCAUGGCAGUUCUUAGUUGGUGGAGUGAUUUGCCUGGUUAAGUCCUUUAACGAAUGAGACCUUAGCCUGCUAAAUAGUAACACGUAACCUCGGUUACGUGGGCUGCUUCUGAGAGGGACUUUGUGUGUCUAACGCAAGGAAGUUUGAUGCAAUAACAGGUCUGUGAUGACCUUAGAUGUUCUGGGCUGCACGCGCGCUACACUGAGGCGCUCAGCGAGUUUUUGACAUUGCCCGGGAGGGUUUGGUCAUCUUUUUAAAAACGCAUCGUGGUGGGGAUAGAUUAUUGCAAGUAUUAAUAUUUAACGAGGAAUUCCUCGUACGCGCGAGCCAUCAGCUCGUGCAAUUUACAUCCCUGCCCU
rnacentral:rRNA from 1 species